GCGAACAAAAUAUGCUGUUUAAGAAUACUUUUAUCGUAACAGUUACUUCUAUCACAUUGAUUCAUUGAAAUUUAUUCGUUAUUGCGAAACAUUACUCUCUUUGAAAGAAAAGUUAUUCGAUUCAGUGAUCAUUUUUAUGAGUCUAUGUAAGUUUCAAAUUAUUUCUAACAGUUACAUACGAUACUUAGGAGCGAGUCAAGUAGGUGUGGCUUCAAGUCUUUCUCUCUUCUUCCUUUCUUUCUCUUGGUUGUAAGUUUUUCGUAACUCUCGCUUCACCGUUUCUUCCUUUCUUUUAGCUUUUUUAUUCUUAGCCUAGAGGUAGUCGGGUUGAUACACGCGAACGCCCACGCCAGCCGAAGCACGCGUACCGUACAUAAGGCCGAGUCGAAGCUCGAUACACGUCGUAGGUCGUACUCGGUCGUCGGUCGUUACCUCGCUUUUUGUGGUAACAGAAAUGAGGCGUCAAAUGACUAAGGCUGGAGCUCUGUCCGUACCAGACUUCGCCCAUUUGUUGCAGAGUUUCUUUCUGACGUCCAAUUGAGUUUGUGGUUUAACUCGUUGAGCCGUACGAACGCAUCUGUGUUACUCGAACUCUCGCGUUUUACUUCCGCUUAAAUCGACCAAGCGCUCAGGGUCGACGGAAGUUUUGCGCGAGAAAGAAACGACAGGGAUAUUACCGGCACGUUGCGUUUUUCUUUUCGGUGAGGUCGAUUAUUCUUCGCCGGGAAGGGACAUAUAUCGAUAUAUAUCCCUAUUAGUCGAUUCUCGAUCUUACACGAUAAGAAACAGAUCUUUUGCUUUAAUUUCUUAAUAUCAAAUUGUUGUUAACUCCAUUCUUCCUUUUUAUUACUUAAUAUGCAUAAAUCAAUGUUCAUUAAAAUUUAUUUAAUAAUUAAUAUGUUGAUAAGAACGUUAGGAAAUAAUCUCGAAAAAUCUAGUUCGUCGUCGGGAGGCUAUCGACAUUUACGUCGACUUACUUUCUCGAAGACUCGUUAUAUCGGCUUUCGAUCUACGAUACGGCUCACAAACGACUAAGGGUCGGUGUAUAAAGAGCGAGACGAAAGAGAUGGAGGGUAGAAACCGACGAUCGAACCAAUAUCUUGUCGAAGCGCGAGUUUCCUUUCAGACCUCAUUACCUUUUCUUCAAACGAUUGUUCCGCUAAACACUCGACGAGCAAAUUGCUCGUCGUUAACCAAGCCGUUCUCCCGGACGAAUUAUACGUAGAGAGACGAUUUGAUGAGCUCGCGGGAAAAGGAAGCGGAGCGCGAUAAAUUUGUCAAUUUUAAAUACGAUUACCGGUACCUCGGAGGUUCGUUUCAGCAACGACGACGAGGAAGAGGACGACGUUGGUGGUAGUAGUAGAAGAGGUAGUCACAGAGCAAUUAUUUUCAGGAACUCUUGCGUUUCUUUCCUCGCUUUCCUUCAAUUUUUUUUUCUCUCUCUCGAUACUCUUUCCUAUAACUUGGUCCUUCUAUCCAAGCCCUCCUUGUCCUCAUCUUCUUUCUCUUCUUUUCUACUUCAACGAUAGCACUUGAUUUCCUCUCCGUUUCUCGUGAAUUUCGAAUUAUUUUUGUCCGUUUUUUUCUUGUUUCUUUCUCUCUCUCUUUUUUUUUUACUUUCUUAUUUAGACAAAGAGAAAGAGCCACACGAUAUUUCCGUCUCUUCUAUUCCAUUUCUCUUUCUACCCUUUAUCCAUCCUCCCUUUCGUCCUAUCCCUCUCUCUUUUCUUGCUUUAUACCCAGACUUUCUUAGCAGUCGUGGAAACACCGCCAUUCCGUUUCCACCGAAGCAAGAACAAACGUUAAUCUAUUUCUUGUUAUCUUCGUUCAUGGAAUCGCAAAGUAAUCGUUUCCACGUUAACCAAGUUACAUACGAGGGAUGUUAUUUCUAACGGAUGUUCUGUUGAAACCCUACUAUACAUUUUAUAUAUUCCGCUUAACGUCAUCGAAAAACAACACGCGACAUCGCUAUCAAAGAUAGUUUGAUAAAAGAUAUUUUCUUAUGAAUUCUGGUAUUUCAUCUUGAAUUCGAAUACGCGAGGGAAAACCUUUAAGAUUUGUUACACUGAAGAAAAGAAGAAAAGAAGAAGAAGAGGAAGAAGAAGAAGAAGAAAGGCUAACGAGGACGAGUCGAAAAAAUUCUCUUUCGAGUUUCGUUGAGAAAAUUUGCAUUUCCAACGAGGAGUCGAGAGUUGAGCCUUCUCACUUGAGAGCAAAGAGAAAGAGAAAGGGAAAGGGAAAGAAAAAGGAGAAAGACAGGAAUCUCGAGAAGAAGCUUUAAGAAAGAUGGCUGAGCGUUUCGGGAGUUCCUUACAAGGUUACGGAGCAAUUAUGGAAUUCGUACGAUUUUAAGUUACAGAAAAUAAAAAAGGAAGAAAGAGAAAGACAAAGAGAGAGAGAGAGAGGGGGGGGGGGGAGAGAAAAAAGAGAAAGAGAGUAUCGAGCUAGCCGGUACCGGCUUUUUCUUUGCCAUAGCUCUUCACCGGCAUACUGAUCCAUUAAUAACUCUGAUGUAUGUGAGAAUUUCUCGUUACGACUGGUACAGGCAGCGCACGCCAUAAAUUGACAGUUUCCCUGGGGGCGCGCAAUAACUUCUACAACGUAAAUUAACGAAUGAGUUGCAGUUUGUACUUUGGAGUGACGUCGCCUGCUAGUUCCGCCGCUUUGACAAGCUUAAACAGAUUCUCCCGUUGCCGAACGACUUUCACAGUUGGUCCCUCUUACCCCCGUCCUACCUUCCUUUUCCUUCGCUUCCUUCUUCGUUCCCUCCUUCGAGCGCAUCUCCUCCUACCGUCUUUCCUCUUGCCCUCUCCCACCCUCGUCUUAACGCCCGUCUGAUCUCGCGCCGUGUAAUUAUUUUGCAAACCCUUUCUCUUUAGUGCCGCCUCUUUACGAACGUUCGCUAUAAACGACGAUCGAUCGUUUCGUUAACCGUUCCGACUUCUUCGUGUUCGUAAGGAUUAUAUAGUCGUUCAAUCGCCAGAGUUAUAUCCUUUCACUCGAUAUUUCGAUUGUUUUCUUAAUUUAUGAUAUUAAGUCACGAAGUUCGAUUUUUAUUUUCUUUUCCGACGACGAUUUCAGUUGCAACUUAAUUGAGUUGCGUGUGUUAUAUCGUAUAAUUAAAAAUAAACCUUUCUCUUUCUACAUUAUGUUCAGAUCGAUUUCAGUGUUAAAUUCGUUUUGAUAUAUUACGAUUUUAUUGGCUCAAACGGUCCUUCCACUUUUUCCGGAGACAAAGGAAAAUAAAAAAAUUUUUGAAGACAUCCUGACGAGCGUGAUCGUUUCUAAUAAUAUAGGGAUGCGAAUGAAGGACGAGUGUCCCUCGAAGAGCGAUGCAAAUCGUGAAAACAAAGGCGUCGAAUUGACAGUGAAGGGAUGCGCGUGAAAUGCGGUGAUGCGAGACAUGGGACACGUGAAAUAUAAAUAUAUAUAUGAAACUCUCAGACGAUUAAUAGAAUAUAUCAAUCAAUCAAUCAGUCGUUCGAUCAAAAUCAGCCGCUUGCAGUCCAAUGGAAAAGAAUUUGCUGCUGUCGGAUCGGCUGAUCUUAGGUACUUUCCUCUUGCCAUUUUCCUUUUAUAUCUCGUGACGCAUCGAAGCGCGAUUUUACGAAAUCUUCAACAAGCGUAAAGAGUAAAAUAAGCGGAGAAGUAAAACGAUUCUCUAUAACAGGAAGUCUAUGAAGAGAGCGAGCUAGUACAACACCGAGGACAAACAAAUACAAAGACAGAGAGAAAGAAGGAAGGAGAGUAAGAAAGAGAAAACGCACGCGUUUGCAUACUGUACGGAGAGAUUCUCCUUCCUUCUCUCUCUCUCUCUCUCUCCCUUUCCCUUGUUUACACUCAUUUGCUUCCCCCGUUUUACUCGACUUGGACGGACACGCAACCGAAAGCAACAGUCGUCGAUAAAAAGACCGAUAACGAAGACCGAGUAGGUUGCACUUACUAAAUUUCUUGCUCGCUUGUAAAUCUAGAGGGUACCAAAGGGCUUCUAGUCGUUUACUUGGUAAAACGAUUAAUUAGAGAACUUGUAAUUAGGUAAGACGAACGGUGCAGUUAUUAGCGUUCACAUAAUUAUUGUAGCUAUAAUAAUAUAACUGUUGUAUUUACUUUAUAUCUGUGAUAUCGAUUUUAUCAUGACGUCACGCAUCGACCUUCAUAUGUUAGUUACUUUCAGCUUUCAAUUUAUUUUGUAACCUUGUUAGACGCAAAGAUUCCUCAUUAACGUUUCAUAUACAUAUUUCCAAAAAUUACAAAGCCGAGGCAACAGUGUCGAAAAGCAUGCGUCGAUUUACAGGACGUAAUUUUGACUUGAUUCAAUAUAACUCGUUCCAACGAUAUUGUUUAAUAUGGAUCUCCCGUCUGCUUGCCAUGUACGCGAGCCUCUAUCUGAUAUGUUUAAUUAUAUGGAUAAUAUAUUACCACGCAACGUUGUUGGUUAUAUGCACCGGUGUGUAAAGCGAAAAUGUGUGCAGCGUGCGAGAUAAGCGAUAUACGUUGUGAUUGCUUUUUUCUGCAUGCAGUACUGAUUGAAAUUGAUCGAGAAACAGUAUUUUUAAAAAGGAAAAAUAAAGUAUUCAGUGUCAAUGUUCGCAAA